CCAGAAAAACAACCAACCAACCCCGACUCCCGACUCCCGAGACCCCCCUAGCGAGAAACUAAAAAAGCCCAAAUGGCGGGGGGGAGGUCGUCGUCUCGUCUCCCCUCCCAGCGAUCCCCUCCCACCGCGACGCCAUUUCCGCCACUCCAUGAUCACUAGGGUUUCGCUCUUCUCCCCAUAACCCCUCGUCCCGAUGGGUUGGUGGAGGCGCUCUGGUUCUCCCUCCGGCUCCUCCCAAUCAUCGUCCGCAUCCACGCCCGCGUCCCCCGCGCGCGCCUCCACCUCCCGCCUCAUCGGCGGCGGGGGCAGCGGCCUCAGCUCCCGCCGCGAUGGAGGUGGGGGUAGCGGCGAACCGCAGCCGCGGCUGAGCAGGGCGCGUCGGAUGCGCUACGUCGUCGACGACCUUGAGGUCGGGGUCCCCGCGAUCGGCGUGGACCCUACGGCGAGGAGGGACGUGGCUGCCGGGUUCGGGCUUGCGACCGCGAAAUCGACGCCGAUCUCGAGGUCGCCGAGUAACAUGGAGGUGGCGCCAGCGAGAUCGUCAUCGACCCCCAUGCUGCUACCGCAUCCGCUGCCCCUGCCAGGCGAUGGGGAGCCUUCGUGCCGCGGGCCAGGGAGGCCGCUUCCGUCGCCGACGCCGAGGAUGCUCGACGGGGAGUGGAACUUGCCUGCAGCGGAGGCUCCAGGGGUUUUAGAGACUGGGAGUGAAAGGAUGCCACCAUUGCUCGCGCAGAGAGUGGUGGCCCAAACUCUACCAAAGACUCACGAGCACAAUGACUUUCGGUUAAAUGGGACUACUUGUGGUCAACGGAGAAAAGCUUUUAAAGAGAAAUUCCAGGAUAAGAACUCAGAUGAGACUUUGAACUUCAGAUUGAACAUUCCUGCUAGGAGUGCACCAAGUAGUGGGUUUUCGAGCCCUGUGCAAAGUCCCCGAAGAUUGAGCAAUGUAGACUUCUCAUCUGCUGCAAUAUCCAUCCAUGAUACCAAUGUAUGGUCAGUGCAGUCUAUCUGGUCUUCUGAUCUGACGGGAUCUUCGCCUCCUUCUGCCUCACCUGACAAAUUUGCGGGUUGUCAGGAGCGUUCUCCUCGCUCAAGUCCACUGAGAAGUCCAGUUUUAAGAUCAAGAAACCCAAGCGCACCUCCAUCACCAAUGCAUCCAAAGUUGUUUCCGGAGAACCAUGUUUCUCGUAAUGAAGGCAAUGGAAGUGCCAGUUUUCACCCGUUACCUCUUCCUCCUGCUUCUGUAAGCCCAAAGCAGACAAAUACUAGCCACCAGGUAGUUUCAAAAGUUGAGGUGCCAUCAGUGGCUGGUCAAUGGCAAAAAGGAAAACUCCUAGGCAGUGGAACAUUUGGAUGUGUAUAUGAGGCCACUAAUAGGCACACUGGAGCUCUUUGUGCCAUGAAAGAGGUCAACAUAAUUCCAGACGAUGCUAAAUCACUCGAGUCUCUGAAGCAAUUGGAACAGGAAAUUAAGUUUCUUAGUCAAUUCAAGCAUGAAAACAUAGUGCAGUACUAUGGCAGUGAGACUAUUGAAGAUAGAUUCUACAUAUACCUGGAAUAUGUUCAUCCUGGUUCAAUACAUAAGUAUGUUCAUCAACAUUGUGGAUCACUGACAGAAUCAGUCAUCCGUAACUUCACACGACAUAUCCUCAAGGGUCUUGCUUUCUUACAUAGCCAAAAGAUUAUGCAUAGGGAUAUCAAAGGUGCAAAUUUGUUAGUGGAUAUUAAUGGUGUAGUGAAAUUGGCUGACUUUGGAAUGGCUAAGCAUCUGAGUACUGCAGCUCCUAAUCUUUCAUUGAAGGGAACACCAUACUGGAUGGCUCCUGAGGUUGUUCGGGCCACACUCGAUAAAAGUGCAGGUUAUGAUCUCGCUGUUGAUAUUUGGAGCCUUGGUUGCACAAUCAUUGAGAUGUUUACAGGAAAACCACCUUGGAGCGGUCUUGAAGGGCCUGCUGCAAUGUUUAAGGUGCUGCGCACGGACCCACCAAUUCCAGAUAAUCUGUCCCCUGAAGGGAAGGAUUUUCUGAGAUGCUGCUUUAAGAGAAACCCUGCUGAGAGACCAACAGCAAGCAAAUUGCUUGAACACCCAUUUAUCCAAAAUUCAAAUCAUUUCAACCAGCAUGGCUCUACACCCUACAACCAGCAUGGCUCUACACCCUACAACCAGCAUGGCUCUACACCCUCAUUUGCAGCAAUGAAAUCCCCAGAUACUGGGCACAAUGGUGCAAGGGACAGAGUACCCUGGAAGAAUGAUUCGUGCAUGAGAGGGAAGCAUGCAAAUGGUGAAACAAGCAGUGCUCGGUCUUCUGGGUCAUUGGGGCUUCGAUUGACAACACCCCUACCCAACUCAGGAACCAAUAGCUUGCCACCUCCACCUUUGAGUUCGGCCUCCAGUUCUGGCUCUGCAACCCAUACACCAAAUGGUAUGAAUUUUUCAGUCGCAUACCCUCAGCCUAGUCCAUUGCCAAAGCCCAACGGGAAGGAAGCAAUAAAUUUGAUUUUACAUUGAAGCACAGCAUGCCACCUAUCACAAUAUCCUGGCCAAAAAGGCACACAAACAUUCUGAGGGUGCCACCUAACCUCUGAUCCUUGUAUCGCCAGUCAUAGUUGACAAUUUUCUGGAUGUUGUAAAGUAUUUUCCAUGUAAAGGAGAUCACCACGGUAUGAUCACAGGAAAAUGCUGCUAAAUGAGGGGGCCUUGUGAAAUCUGUUGUAAUAUUUGGUUUCUGUUGGGGUGGGGGGGGGGGGGGUGAUUGCAUUUCCCAUGUAACAUAUUUAUUAGGAUUUAGCUGUAGGUAAAACUAAUGGUCCUGAUUGUCGACACAUAGGACAUUAGGUUUAGCAUGUGUUGCUGUUGUAUGUUGAUCAUACUUGAUGUAAUCAUUGUUGAUGAUUUUUUGGGCCCAAGUAAUAAAAUGUUGACUGGCAAGGGAGCUGCAGAUCACGUACCGAAUUUCUUCGUCGUGGCAGACUGCUCAUUUGGUUGUUUA